CACUGACAUCAUUUAGGUGCAUUUUCAGUCAUCCUGACUUUUGUCUUGCCACAGGAUUUAGAUGACUCUGGAAGAAAGAGUGAGGCUGACAACUCUGGGCAACUCACUUAAAUCCAAUUCACACAUAAGUUAAGAUAUUACCCUGUGAUGUCACUGGUAUUCUUUGAAAUGAAGGGUCACCACCACCACCACCAAUUGAUGGAACAUAUUUUUUAUUGACUGAAUCAUCCUUUUAUCUUCUUAAAUCUAGCUUUGUUUUAAACUGCCCUUGCAGCUGGCUAAUAUUUUCUUGUAGAUUCCAUAUGAUCAGUUUUUCAGGAGGAAGCUCAAAAAUUAUCUAUUUAAUCCAUUCAUUUUGUAGGUGAGGAAAAUGAAGCCCAGAGAAUACAUAUAGAUGACUAGCUCCCCUGCUAAGACUUCAAGUGUCUUGCCUCUAAAUCCAAUGCUCUAUGUUCUUACCUCUGCAUGAUAAUAUAGAGGGUCAUUAGCAAUAGGAAGCAAUUAAAGGUUGCUGUUGCCUCUGGUUAAACCUAGGAAGAAACUUAUACUGUUCUACUCAUUGAAUUAUUCAUAUUCUUAGAUAUCACAAUUAAAAAAGAACCAGUAGAAGAAUUAGUAGAAGAGGAGAUCAGCAGUGGCAAACCUGCAAUGGGAAAAGCUAUAAUGCAGUUUUCCUGGUUUUGCAAUGUCCAAGGAUACAAUUGGAGGAACUUCUUUUGUUUUAAAAAACAUGAUAAACAAGUACAGAAUGUGCGCAAGCAGGAAGAAACUGACCUAAAGCUGCUGGUGUCUGACUGGACAGAAACUCAAGUUGGCCAUUGGUUAAAGAGUAUUGGAAUGAAAAAAUAUAUCCUGAAAUUUGAUUAUAAAAGAAUAAGAGGUCAAGAACUUCUUGAAUUAGACAAUGAUGCAUUAAAAUGCAUUGGCAUCACUAAGAAGAGAGAUCGCAAGAAAAUCCUUAAGGGAAUUAAGAAAAUUCAACAGACAGAAAAAAAUUAAUACAAUCUAACAAUUAAAUAUAUCAAAAAGAUAAUUCUGGAAGAUACAGCAAAAAUGAGAAAAAUAUAAUUACAUGAUAUUUACCUUUAAUCUACUACUUCAACAUAUUAUUGAAACCUUCUGAUUCUUCUGCCAUGAAUCUAGCACACAUUUACUGAGGAGCAGUGAUGGAUGGAAUGACCAUAUAAGCCAAGAGAUUUUGGUGGACCACUGAUCAAGGUGUUCCAAAGAUGAUCAUUCAUUCACUCAUUUCUGCCUUAGCCUGAAAAAGAGCAUCCUGUUUGUUGCACUCUGGAUUCCUUUUUUAUCUUUGGUCCUAGGCUUUUCAGCCUUUGUCUACCAAUUCUUAUGUUGUGUAUACCUUAGAGAAUAAUUACCAUGAUGUAUAUCCCCAAUUAAUUCACUAUGCAAUUUUGAAAAUAAAAACUCUGUCUGCUCUUUGAUGCCUACCUUC
rnacentral:lncRNA from 1 species